rnacentral:rRNA from 1 species
UACGGAGGGAGCAAGCGUUACUCGGAAUUAUUGGGCGUAAAGGGCGCGUAGGCGAUUUGGCAAGUCUUGUGUGAAAGCCCACAGCCUAACUGUGGAAGUGCACAAGAUACUGCUGAAUUUGAGUUCAGGAGAGGAAGGCAGAAUUCCCGGUGUAGCGGUGAAAUGCGUAGAUAUCGGGAGGAAUACCAGUGGCGAAGGCGGCCUUCUGGACUGACACUGACGCUGAGGCGCGAAAGCUAGGGGGAGCAAACGGG